CUCAGGGCCCCGCGACCGACUCCCGUGUCACCGCCGCAGGUGGGCCACCGAGCUCCAGGAGGGGGACCCUGAGGACUCGGAUGAAGAACGGGCUCCGAGGCAGCAAGUCAAACCUUCUUGGGUGGCCUUCAGAAGGGAACAGAGUAAACACCAUAAGGUGAGUAUUUCCCAAAUCCUGUUGACAACAAAAUUUUCCUCAUGGAGAGAAAUGCAGGUAACAGCAGGAAAAUGCAGAAAGUAUCCUAGGAACUGCCACCUUCCUUUCCUGGUCUCUUCAACACAUUGUCCGACAUUAUAAUUUUUUUAAAGAUUUUAUUUAUUGAUUUUUUUAGAGAGGGGGGAA